rnacentral:lncRNA from 1 species
GCAGGCUGGGGACCUGGCCAGCCUGCGCCCUCCUGCGCCUCGCGGCCCUGGCUGUGGUCGGCGCCCGCUCCCAUCCUUCAUCCGGCCGUGACUCCCGAGGACCCGCAGGCUCCUCCUGCCUCCGGAAACCUCCCGUGAAGACCUGCUCCCUGGGCGCGGGAAGCUCUCACCGCCUAGCCUCCACCCCACACCCCCUGGAGGAGAGUCCUACCCACUCUAUUUGAAUGUGAUUUUACCACUUCUGGUUCACCCAAAAAGCUUUUCUCUUCCCUCCCCAGUUCGGAAAGACUUGAUGCCGCACCGCUUCCCACAAUGAUCAGACGCCUAAAGAACCCUACUAACCCAAAGUUGGGAGAAAUGUUAAUUUGGGGGUGAAGAAGUUCCGAGGAGACUCUUCCUCUGUGGGACAGUCCCAUUGAGAUGUAUAUCAGGCCUGGGAAAUGUAGUCGAUUUCUUGAGAAAAUAAACCACCCUUUCCACUCCC